CUGGCUGCUCCCUAUGUGAAAAUGGAGAGCCUGCAGAACUCAUAAGCUCCCCUUCUCUACCUUUACCUGGCAUCGAGAAAGCCUUAGUUUGCUGUGAGCUGGUUUGUUAAAGCCCAGAGGAGGGUCCACAGAAGAGAAACUGAUGGGCUUUAAAAUAUCAAUCAUCUGCUUUCCUUUAUUUAAAAGCUACAAACUUUUUAAUAGAUUUGGAUUCACAGCAAACUUCAUGGUUCAAUGGGAGAUCUGUUUUGUCGCAUUUUUGUUGGCAAAACAAGAUUCCCAGAGGUUCAGCAUCAUCAACAAGAUGGAAGCAAUUCAAAAAGAAAAUUCAACACUUUCAAGUCAGGCAAAGCACCUGAAGAUGGAUGGGCCUGGGACACCACCCUGAGGAACUCUUCUGGAGAUGAGCUGAGAUAAUUGACAUUCAACAACAACCAUCUUGUCUUGGGCCAGGUUAGAAUCAACCUAAACAUCAUGGCACAGACGAGAACAUGGGGGCUAACACCUUCAACAUAUUAUCUGGCUAACACCAAUUGUUACAGUUAACCUGAGAAUGCAACCUUUAAAAGAAGUUUUGUGAUUUACAUACGAAAGAAGUGAAACUAUCAUGGUAUUUGAACAGAUGAAAGACUCAACAGACAAUCAAGGUAUUUUUCAAUGUAUAAUUUCAGUUACAUCACACUGUAAACUUUUGCUA